AUUGAACGCUGGCGGCAGGCCUCACACAUGCAAGUCGACCGAGUGGCGGACGGGUGAGUAAUGUCUGGGACACUGCCCGAUUGAUGGGUAUAACUACUGGAAACGUUAGCUCAUACCGCCUACCCUCUGCUCUUCCCAGAUGGGAUUAGCUAGUAGGUGGGGUACCGGCUCACCUAGGCGACGAUCCCUAGCUGGUCUGAGAGGAUGACCAGACACACUGGAACUGAGACGGUGUCCAGACUCCUACGGGGGGCAGCAGGGGGGAAUAUUGCAAAAUGGGCGCAAGCCUGGUGCAGCCAUGCCGCGUGUAUGAAGAAGGCCUUGGGGUUGUAAAGUAUUUUCAGCGAAGAGACGUUCCUCGCAGAAGAAGACCGGCUAACUCCGUGCCAGCAGCCGCGGUAAUA
rnacentral:rRNA from 1 species